rnacentral:rRNA from 1 species
GACGAACGCUGGCGGCGUGCCUGAUACAUGCAAGUAGAACGCACAGUUUAUACCGUAGCUUGCUACACCAUAGACUGUGAGUUGCGAACGGGUGAGUAACGCGUAGGUAACCUGCCUGGUAGCGGGGGAUAACUAUUGGAAACGAUAGCUAAUACCGCAUAAUAUUAAUUAUUGCAUGAUAAUUAAUUGAAAGGUGCAAUUGCACCACUACCAGAUGGACCUGCGUUGUAUUAGCUAGUAGGUGAGGUAACGGCUCACCUAGGCGACGAUACAUAGCCGACCUGGGAGGGUGAUCGGCCACACUGGGACUGAGACACGGCCCAGACUCCUACGGGAGGCAGCAGUAGGGAAUCUUCGGCAAUGGACGAAAGUCUGACCGAGCAACGCCGCGUGAGUGAAGAAGGUUUUCGGAUCGUAAAGCUCUGUUGUAAGAGAAGAACGGGUGUGAGAGUGGAAAGUUCACACUGUGACGGUAGCUUACCAGAAAGGGACGGCUAACUACGUG